AACGAACGCUGGCGGCAUGCCUAACACAUGCAAGUCGAACGAGACCUUCGGGUCUAGUGGCGCACGGGUGCGUAACGCGUGGGAACCUGCCCUUAGGUUCGGAAUAACUCCCCGAAAGGGGUGCUAAUACCGGUUAAUGUCUUCGGACCAAAGAUUUAUCGCCUUUGGAUGGGCCCGCGUUGGAUUAGCUAGUUGGUAGGGUAAAAGCCUACCAAGGCGACGAUCCAUAGCUGGUCUGAGAGGAUGAUCAGCCACACUGGGGCUGAGACACGGCCCAGACUCCUACGGGAGGCAGCAGUGGGGAAUAUUGGACAAUGGGCGAAAGCCUGAUCCAGCAAUGCGGCGUGAGUGAUGAAGGCCUUAGGGUUGUAAAGCUCUUUUACCCGGGAUGAUAAUGACAGUACCGGGAGAAUAAGCUCCGGCUAACUCCGUG
rnacentral:rRNA from 1 species